AAGUCCCCUCAAAGUAUCUGCUUUAUAUACAUUAUUUACACAAUGGGCUGCCCAUGAUUGGCUAAUUCUGGAAUUCUACUGUAAGCCAAUCAGGUUGUGGAUUCACUUCUAUCUGGAGCAUGAUUGGGUGGUUCCUGCCAACCAAUCAUACUGCUGCAUUGUUCUAAGACCAAUCAGACUGCUGCAGUUUGGAUCCUAUUCAAUUCAGUACAUAACAAGGGUGAAGGGGGGAUACUGGCUCUUCAAGGGUUAAAGGCAGCGAUUAUAUUAUGACGCUGGACUUCCUGGGGGGAGAGGGAAGCGUCACUUCCUCCUCCGUUUGUCACAUGUGACAAGCUGCGAGGGAGGAGAUUCUGCAGCGCGGAAGACUGUGCCUUUUGCAAGGAAGGAUGGAAGAGGCAGAUCCUAGCGAGGAUGGAAGGGGGAAGAUGGACGGUUGACCUGGUCCGGCUGCCUCCCCCAACCUCUGACCGUUCCCCUCCAGGACACUCAGAGAGAUCUGCGAGGAUGGAAGGAGGAAGAUGGACGGUUGACCUGGUCAGGCUGUCUCCCACCACCUUUGAAUGUUCCCUCCCAGGACCUUUAGAGAGAUCUGGUGAGUUCCAAGGAAUGGAGAUGGGGACCUGGGGAGAUGUUGGGGGCUGAGGAAGCUCCCCUGGCAAGAAAACAAGGAGGGCUGCAGGGCCAGAGCUCUGGACUGGCAGAGAUUAAAGAUAGGCAGGAAAUGAAUGUUUUCUAAUGGUGACUUGGCCAUAGUCAGGAUUUGGGGGCUGCUGUCUACCAACUCCAUCUGCUACACAGGCUGAGACCCUACCUGCACACAGACUGUGGUACAUGCUAUGGUUAUCUCCCGCUUGGAUUGCUACAAUGCACUCUAGGUGGGGCUGCCUUUGAAAGUGACUCGGAAACUACAAUUAAUCCAGAAAGCGGCAGCUCAACUGGUGACUGGGAGCAGUUGCCAGGAGCAUAUAACACUGGUCUUAAAGGAUCUACAUCGGCUCAGAGUUUGUUUCUGAGCAUCAUUCAAAGUGUUGGUGCUGACCUUUAAAGCUCUAAACAGUCUUGACCCUGUAGACCUGAAGGAGCAUCUCUAACCCCAGACACUGAGGUCCAGCUCUGGUUCCCUGAUUGCCAGAAGUGAAGUUACAGGGAACCAGGCAGAGGGCCUGCUCAGUGGUGGCACCCUUCAGAUGUCUUCCUGGUGCAACUGGACUUCUCCGCAACCCUUCCCCUCCGCAGGGAGGUGGGACCGAUUCGGAUGGUCCGCCC
rnacentral:lncRNA from 1 species